ensembl:snRNA U6 U6 spliceosomal RNA
GUGUAUACAUCUCACCAGCAGCACACAUUCUAAAAUUGGAACAGUAUAGAGAAGAUUAGCAUGGCCCUGCACAAGGAUGACACACAAAUUCAUGAAUUAUUCCUUUUUUUU